rnacentral:rRNA from 1 species
CGGCGUGCUUACACAUGCAAGUCGAACGAACCUUCGGGUUAGUGGCGGACGGGUGAGUAACGCGUGGGAAUCUGCCCUCAGGAGGGGGAUAACGGCCGGAAACGGCCGCUAAUACCCCAUAUGCCGAGAGGUGAAAUGAAUUUCGCCUGAGGAUGAGCCCGCGUCUGAUUAGCUAGUUGGUGAGGUAAGAGCUCACCAAGGCAUCGAUCAGUAGCUGGUCUGAGAGGAUGAUCAGCCACACUGGGACUGAGACACGGCCCAGACUCCUACGGGAGGCAGCAGUGGGGAAUUUUCCGCAAUGGGCGAAAGCCUGACGGAGCAACGCCGCGUGAGGGAUGAAGGCCUCUGGGCUGUAAACCUCUUUUAUCAAGGAAGAAGAU